CGCUGGCGGCGUGCCUACACAUGCAAGUCGAGCGGAGUACCCCAAGAAAAAUUUUCGAAUGGAUCUUGGACGUACUUAGCGGCGGACGGGUGAGUAACGCGUGGGCAACCUGCCCUGUACAGAGGAAUAACAUUGGGAAACCAGUGCUAAUACCUUAUAACACUUUUAAAAGGCAUCUUUUAAAAGUCAAAGUUUUUCGGUACAGGAUGGGCCCGCGUCUGAUUAGUUAGUUGGUAGGGUAAUGGCUUACCAAGACGAUGAUCAGUAGCCGACCUGAGAGGGUGAUCGGCCACACUGGAACUGAGACACGGUCCAGACUCCUACGGGAGGCAGCAGUGGGGAAUAUUGCACAAUGGGCGCAAGCCUGAUGCAGCAACGCCGCGUGAGCGAUGAAGGCCUUCGGGUCGUAAAGCUCUGUCCUAAGGGAAGAUAUAGACGGUACCUUAGGAGGAAGCCCCGGCUAACUACGUGCCAGCAGCCGCGGUAAUACGUAGGGGGCAAGCGUUAUCCGGAAUUACUGGGCGUAAAGGGUGCGUAGGCGGUCUGGUAAGUCAGAGGUGAAAGACUAUUGCUCAACAAUAGCAAGCCUUUGAAACUACCGGACUUGAGUGCAGGAGAGGAGAGUGGAAUUUCUAGUGUAGCGGUGAAAUGCGUAGAUAUUAGAAGGAACACCAGUGGCGAAGGCGACUCUCUGGUCUGCAACUGACGCUGAGGCACGAAAGCGUGGGGAGCGAACAGGAUUAGAUACCCUGGUAGUCCACGCCGUAAACGAUGAGUGCUAGGUGUCGGGGGUCAAACCUCG
rnacentral:rRNA from 1 species